GUGGGGAAUCUUCCACAAUGGACGAAAGUCUGAUGGAGCAACGCCGCGUGAGUGAAGAAGGGUUUCGGCUCGUAAAGCUCUGUUGUCGGGGACGAAUGUGCAGUAUUUGAAUAAAGUACUGCAAUGACGGUACCUGACGAGGAAGCCACGGCUAACUACGUGCCAGCAGCCGCGGUAAUACGUAGGUGGCAAGCGUUGUCCGGAAUUAUUGGGCGUAAAGGGAGCGCAGGCGGGAAGGUAAGUCGGUCUUAAAAGUGCGGGGCUCAACCCCGUGAUGGGAUAGAAACUAUCUUUCUUGAGUGCAGGAGAGGAAAGUGGAAUUCCUAGUGUAGCGGUGAAAUGCGUAGAUAUUAGGAGGAACACCAGUGGCGAAGGCGACUUUCUGGACUGUAACUGACGCUGAGGCUCGAAAGCCAGGGGAGCGAACGGGAUUAGAAACCCGAGUAGUCC
rnacentral:rRNA from 1 species